rnacentral:rRNA from 1 species
GAUGAACGCUAGCUACAGGCUUAACACAUGCAAGUCGAGGGGAAACGGCAUUAAGUGCUUGCACUUUUUGGACGUCGACCGGCGCACGGGUGAGUAACGCGUAUCCAACCUUCCCAUGACUAAGGGAUAACCUGCCGAAAGGCAGACUAAUACCUUAUGGUCUUCACUGACGGCAUCAGAUGUGAAGUAAAGAUUUAUCGGUUAUGGAUGGGGAUGCGUCUGAUUAGCUUGUUGGCGGGGUAACGGCCCACCAAGGCAACGAUCAGUAGGGGUUCUGGGAGGAAGGUCCCCCACAUUGGAACUGAGACACGGUCCAAACUCCUACGGGAGGCAGCAGUGAGGAAUAUUGGUCAAUGGGCGAGAGCCUGAACCAGCCAAGUAGCGUGCAGGAUGACGGCCCUAUGGGCUGUAAACUGCUUUUGUAUGGGGAUAAAGUCAAUCACGUGUGAUUGUUUGCAGGUACCAUACGAAUAAGGACCGGCUAAUUCCGUGCCAGCAGCCGCGGUAAUACGGAAGGUCCGGGCGUUAUCCGGAUUUAUUGGGUUUAAAGGGAGCGUAGGCUGGAGAUUAAGUGUGUUGUGAAAUGUAGACGCUCAACGUCUGACUUGCAGCGCAUACUGGUUUCCUUGAGUACGCACAACGUUGGCGGAAUUCGUCGUGUAGCGGUGAAAUGCUUAGAUAUGACGAAGAACUCCGAUUGCGAAGGCAGCUGACGGGAGCGCAACUGACGCUGAAGCUCGAAGGUGCGGGUAUCGAACAGG